rnacentral:rRNA from 1 species
AUGGCGGCCACGGCGAUGGAGCACGAUGGCGGCGCCGAGGUGGUGGUCACCCCGGGGGAGCUCCUCGGGCCCUCCUCGUCUCUCGAGGCCGGGCGCGGCGCUUACGCCGACGGCCGCUCCGUGCGCGCGUCGGUCACCGGCCGCCGCCGCUUCGUGGCCCCCGCCCCCGGCUCCUCCGACCAGAGGUCCACGGUGGAGGUGGUCGGGCACAAGGCGCACGGGGCCGUGCCGCAGCCGGGGAGCAUCGUCAUUGCCCGUGUGACAAAGGUUAUGGCUAGGAUGGCGUCUGCAGAUAUAAUGUGUGUUGACUCAAAGGCUGUCAAGGAAAAGUUCACUGGCAUGAUAAGGCAGCAAGAUGUUCGUGCAACUGAGAUCGACAAGGUGGAUAUGUACCAGUCAUAUCGACCUGGCGAUAUUGUUAGAGCUCUGGUUCUCUCUCUUGGUGAUGCAAGGGCAUACUACCUUUCGACUGCCAAGAAUGAACUUGGAGUUGUUUCUGCCCAAAGUAUAGCUGGUGGCACGCUGGUCCCAACCAGUUGGACUGAGAUGCAAUGUGAAUUGACUGGCCAAAUCGAGCAAAGAAAAGUUGCAAAAGUGGAGUAG